CCUACGGGAGGCAGCAGUGAGGAAUAUUGGUCAAUGGGCGAGAGCCUGAACCAGCCAAGUCGCGUGAGGGAGUACUGCCCUAUGGGUUGUAAACCUCUUUUGUCGGGGAGCAAAAGCCGGACGGGUCCGGCUGUGAGAGUACCCGAAGAAAAAGCAUCUGCUAACUCCGUGCCAGCAGCCGCGGUAAUACGGAGGAUGCGAGCGUUAUCCGGAUUUAUUGGGGUUAAAGGGUGCGCAGGCGGAUUUUUAAGUCAGCGGUCAAAUCGUGGGGCUCAACCCCAUCCAGCCGUUGAAACUGGGGAUCUAGAGUGUGCGAGAGGUAUGCGGAAUGCGUGGUGUAGCGGUGAAAUGCAUAGAUAUCACGCAGAACCCCGAUUGCGAAGGCAGCAUACCGGUGCACAACUGACGCUCAGGCACGAAAGCGUGGGUAUCGAACAGGAUUAGAUACCCUUGUAGUC
rnacentral:rRNA from 1 species